CGGGGGGCUGCAGCAGUGGGGAAUAUUGGACAAUGGGGGAGACCCUGAUCCAGCAAUGCCGCGUGUGUGAAGAAGGCCUGCGGGUUGUAAAGCACUUUCGGUUGGGAGGACUGCUUCUAGCACUAAUAUUGUUGGAAGUUGACGUUACCUUCAGAAGAAGCACCGGCUAACUCCGUGCCAGCAGCCGCGGUAAUACGGAGGGUGCAGGCGUUAAGCGGAAUUACUGGGCGUAAAGCGCGCGUAGGCGGCUAGAUCAGUCGGGUGUGAAAGCCCCGGGCUUAACCUGGGAACUGCAUCCGAUACUGUCUAGCUUGAGUACAGGAGAGGAGAGUGGAAUUCCACAUGUAGCGGUGACAUGCGUAGAUAUGUGGAGGAACACCAAUGGCGAAGGCAGCUCUCUGGCCUGAUACUGACGCUGAGGUGCGAAAGCGUGGGGAGCAAACAGGAUUAGAUACCCCCGUAGUC
rnacentral:rRNA from 1 species